ACUUGCAAUCUAUGUGGUUGUAGAGAGGAAGAUGAAUUUCAUGCAGUCAUUGAGUGUACAAAGAGCAGAGCCCUUAGGGAUGCCCUGAGGAAAGAUUGGGACCUGCCACCGGAAGCUUGUUUCCGGUGUACUGGACCAGAUUGGCUGCAACUUCUGCUAAGCACUGUACCUGAGGCCACACAAACGAGGAUUCUGCUGCUUCUAUGGAGGUGCUGGUUUCUGAGGGAUAACUGUGUCCAUGGUAACGGGAAAGAAACAAUCAGGCAGUCGGUCUCCUUCCUGUUAAAAUAUGAGGAGGACCUCCAGCAAGCUGCGCUAAAUCCCAUCUCUGAUUCAGAGAAGGCCCCUGCCAUGCUGACGGAGACAACCAUCCGGGAGGCAACCCAGGAACACAUGAGGUGGACUGCACCCGAGCGGGGAAUCGCAAAGAUCAACUCUGAUGCAGCCUUCCUCCCGGACAGUGGGCAAAGCUGGGCUGGUGCCGUUGCUAGGGACUACAAAGGACACGUAUUCCUUUCAGUGGGCAAGUAUCUUGCGACCUCAAGCUGUGUCGAGGAGGCAGAGCUGCGUGCAGCCUUAAUUGGAGUGCAGACUUUGGGAGCAAAGUAUCGUGGGCCAGUGGAGCUGGAAAUGGAUUGCAAGGUUGCAACUGAUUUGCUAAAUGCCCCAGGUGUGCCUCGCUCUCCGCACUAUGGGAUAAUCCAUGACAUCAAAGAAGCACUGUAG
rnacentral:rRNA from 1 species